rnacentral:lncRNA from 1 species
AAUAAUAUAACAGUUCUCUCUUCUCUUUCUCUCCUUCAUCUCCUCUUCUCUAUUCUUCCUCAUAUUGUUAUUAGUUUUAUAACACCAACGUUAUUAUAUGGUUUUUUUUUUUUUACAAACGUUAUUAUACGGUUAAAAAUAGCAUAAUUAAUGAAAAAUGCUAGCUAUAGAAUCUAUAUAUGGCACUAGGUAAGAAACCACUUUUUUUUUUGGGUACAAACCACUUAUUUAAUUUUAAGGAUGUUACUAACGAGUAACUCCAGAACGUUCUUUAAACAUUAUUUUGAAAGAAAUCAUUUUACAGUGUCUUCACACAUUCAUAAGCCCCUAUUAAGGUUUAUACAUUCACAAAUCCCAAAUCCCAAGAUGUACUUUAUUGGAUUCUGAAUAUUGAAGUUGCAAUAUGGAAUUUCAGGAUGGAGACAGAUUAAAUCAUGGCAUUGCUCAGUUUUUUCGCAUAUUGAUAUGCCUGUAACAUCAAAUUAGAAUUAAGGAACGUUAUCAAAAUAGGGUGAAACAAUUUUGAAUAAGAUAUGAAAAGAAAAUUUAAAGGUAAAUUGUUAGGUAUUUGGUUUUUGUUUGAAUACUGAUAUACAAAAUUUAUUUAAAAUUUAUAUUUAUAUUUUUUUGAAAAGGCAAAAUAUAUUCAUGAGUGAAUUAGGCAAAAGGUGUACAUAUAUCAUAGGUCUCAAAUUCAUAUAUGUGCUAAAAUAAAAAUAGCUAAGCUACCAUGAAUCAAUCACAUAGACUAAAUGAAAUAAACACAAAAGCUCCUGAUGACAGCCAGGCUCUUGAUAUUAACAUAAAUUAUAGUUAAACAAAUUUUUAUAAAUAAUUAAAGUUUCUUUUGUAAUUAGUCUUACAAAAAAUAAUUUUAGCAAAUUUUGGUUUUCUAAAUAUUUUUUAUCAUACUAUGGUCUAUAAGUCAACUCAUAUGUAUACUUUCAUAUUUUUUAAUGAAUUUUUGUAUUAAUAUUGAUAAUAUUAUAAGAAUUUCUACCAUAAAAAUUUAGAAUCUUUGAACAUAAGAUGAGUUAAAUAUGAAAUUUUAAACGCAUAAAAUUUAAAAAUUUCAUAUUUAAUUCAUCCAUUGUUGCAAAAAAAUUAAAUUUUGUAAGAGAGAUUUCUAUAACGUACUAAACAUAACUACGAAAAAAUUCAAAAUUUUGAAUAAUUGCAUGAGUUGAGUUAAAUGCAAGGACAAAAAAUUGUACGAAAAAUAUUUGAGGAACAAACUUGUUGAACUAUUUUAGAGAUUAAAAAUAAAUUUUCAGAUAUUUAUCAGAACCAAACAGUUAUUUAACCUUAUAAUUAAAUUAACAUGAAAUAUGAUACGGUUUUUAAUAUUUGAGAGAGAUACCAGAAUCAAACUAAACUCUCAAGUACGACCGUUCACCAAAUUUAGAAGCGUUGAUAAAAAUUACUUACUGCAGUUUGUUAUAGAAAUAAUUAUGGAAAAAACAAUAAUCAUAGCAUAAAUAAAUAUAUAAACUUCAGCCAUGUUUUCUCUUUUAUGAAUCUAGAAAUAGGAAUUGGUUGAUCAUUUUAUAGUGUGGAAAAAAGUCUUUUUUUUUUUGCUUAACUACA